rnacentral:tmRNA from 13 species
GGGGGUGCCCUGGUUUCGACAGGAUCAGUGGACGCUUAGGGUGCGUGUCUGGGUUGGUCUCUUGGCCCAGUAAAAAGGAGACCAAACAUAAUUGCUAACGAUUCGUUCGCACCUGCAAUGGCUGCCUAAUAGGCAACACCAUUCAUGAGGCGCUAGUGCCAAUAAACAGAAACUAGCAACGCAGUUGAGCCUGCUGUCUAACUAGGUUUUGAGGCCGCCGGGAAUCCUCGCUAAUCAGUCACCGGGCGUUGCCAUUUGUAAGUAAAAUGGACAGCCUUGUUUGCUGGCAAAAAAUGCAAAAGACACACGUGGUGCCUUAUUCAAAAACUGUCUUGGACGCGAGUUCGAUUCUCGCCACCUCCAC